rnacentral:rRNA from 1 species
UACAGAGGGGGCGAGCGUUAUUCGGAAUUAUUGGGCGUAAAGGGCGCGUAGGCGGCUUUUCAAGUGACGGGUGAAAUCCCUCGGCUUAACCGAGGAACUGCCUGUCAGACUGGAAGGCUUGAGACCGGGAGAGGUGAGUGGAAUUCCCAGUGUAGCGGUGAAAUGCGUAGAUAUUGGGAGGAACACCAGUGGCGAAGGCGGCUCGCUGGACCGGUUCUGACGCUGAGGCGCGAAAGCGUGGGGAGCAAACGGG